AUUGAACGCUGGCGGAAUGCUUUACACAUGCAAGUCGAACGGCAGCACGGACUUCGGUCUGGUGGCGAGUGGCGAACGGGUGAGUAACAUAUCGGAACGUAUCCAAUAAUGGGGGAUAACUAAUCGAAAGGUUGGCUAAUACCGCAUACGCCCUACGGGGGAAAGCAGGGGAUCUUCGGACCUUGCGUUAAUGGAGCGGCUGAUAUCUGAUUAGCUAGUUGGUGAGGUAAAGGCUCACCAAGGCGACGAUCAGUAGCUGGUCUGAGAGGACGACCAGCCACACUGGAACUGAGACACGGUCCAGACUCCUACGGGAGGCAGCAGUGGGGAAUUUUGGACAAUGGGCGCAAGCCUGAUCCAGCCAUUCCGCGUGAGUGAAGAAGGCCUUCGGGUUGUAAAGCUCUUUCGCAAGGGGAGAAAACUUACUUUCUAAUAAAGAGUGAGGUUGACGGUACCUUGAUAAGAAGCACCGACUAACUACGUGCCAGCAGCCGCCGUAA
rnacentral:rRNA from 1 species